rnacentral:rRNA from 1 species
AUAGAACGCUGGCGGAAUGCUUUACACAUGCAAGUCGAGCGGCAGCGCGGGGCAACCUGGCGGCGAGCGGCGAACGGGUGAGUAAUGCAUCGGAACAUGUCCAUGUCGUGGGGGAUAGCCCGGCGAAAGCCGGAUUAAUACCGCAUACGCUCGAGAGAGGAAAGCAGGGGACCGCAAGGCCUGGCCCGAUUGGGUUGGCCGAUGUCCGAUUAGCUAGUUGGUGAGGUAAAGGCUUACCAAGGCGAUGCACGGUAGCUGGUCUGAGAGGAUGAUCAGCCAAACUGGGACUGAGACACGGCCCAGACUCCUACGGGAGGCAGCAGUGGGGAAUUUUGGACAAUGGGGGCAACCCUGAUCCAGCCAUUCCGCGUGAGUGAAGAAGGCCUUCGGGUUGUAAAGCUCUUUUGUCCGGAGCGAAACGGGCGCGGCUAAUACCUGCGUCUACUGACGGUACCGGAAGAAUAAGCACCGGCUAACUACGUGCCAGCAGCCGCCGUAA